rnacentral:rRNA from 1 species
UACGUAGGGUGCGAGCGUUAAUCGGAAUUACUGGGCGUAAAGCGUGCGCAGGCGGUUUUGUAAGCCAGAUGUGAAAUCCCCGGGCUCAACCUGGGAAUGGCAUUUGGGACUGCAAGGCUGGAGUGCGGCAGAGGAGACUGGAAUUCCUGGUGUAGCAGUGAAAUGCGUAGAGAUGUGGAGGAAUACCGAUGGCGAAGGCAGCCCCCUGGGCCAAUACUGACGCUCAUGCACGAAAGCGUGGGGAGCAAACAGG